CCUCUUGCCUCUCAUCACUUCCUGUUGGGCUCCAGGUGGAGAUGGGAGAAAGGCAGUGGCUGUGAACUUCAUGCUCACACAGCCUAAGUACCAUCAGGCACCAACUGAACAACAACUCAUUGCUCUCUUUAUUACAUGGAUGGUGGAAGGCAGCAGCCCCAUGCCAGGCAGCACCAGCCCUGCUAUGUCACGGCCACGUUGCCAGGGGCAGCCACCAGCUCCAGGAAGCACCCUGCAGCUGGCACAGCCAUGUCACAAGAGCACAACAUCGGGGAGGGGGGGUGCGUUCCAGAGCCAGCUUGGUGUCACAGCAGCCCGGAAUGCUGAGCAGAAGGGCAGUGCCAGCCAGAGAUCGCCGCCGAGUACCCAAAUGAGCGAGGCUGUGGCGGGCAGGAGCAGCCCAUGGGGAUGGAUGGGGCUGCUCCUCCUCUCCCUCACAGCCACACAUGGGGACAGGGACACAGCAGGACGGCGAGACGCUCCUGUGCUCACCCACAGCACAGAUAAGUCGCACCCAAACUGGAGCCCACCUCGCUCCUGCAGGACCCUGGCAGCUCCCACGGGUCCCUUGCCCUGCCCUAAUGUUAGGGUGCUGCUUUGCUGAGUCCUGCCCCCACUCCAGGUGCUGGAACCGGACCUGCUGAUUGCAGUGGCCCUUUCCACACAGCCCUGGGGACAGCAACCCGGUGAGCAGGGCUGUGCAGGGGAGGGCAACACAGGGAAGCAGGGCAGGAGGCUGCUCCUUUCUUCCUUCCUCCCCCUCUGCCUUGCAGAUGGACAGCCCAACACAGAUGGCUCCAGAUGACCCAGAGUGCUGGAGCUCAGCCCUCCAAACUGCUGUCCUACAAAAAAGGUGCUGGCACCACACCAUCUGAUUGUGGUGGCCGUCUCAACGUGGCGUUACUGACACAGUGGGCCCCAAAUGGCCAAGGAAACCAUUUUCAGACCAACAACCCGGUGAGCAGGGCUGUGCAGGGGAGGGCAGCACAGGGAAGCAGGGCAGGAGGCUGCUCCUCUUGUACUUCCCCUCUGCCUUGCAGAAGGUCAGCCCAACACAAACGGCACCAGACGACAAGAAGUGAUGGAGCUCAGCCCUCCAAACUGCUGUCCUACAAA